UUGACAAUUGUGCAAGUUGGCCAAGGUUCAUCACGCUCACGAGACAUCAUGCAGGAGGAGUUAAGGGCCGCCUAUGAUGCUGAGCACGCAAGAUAGGAGGAAGGAGAUGAUGAUGAUGAUGAUGAGACACAGCCGCCUUCUGCAGACGAUUUGGUCCAAGAAACCGCACCAUCCAAUGAUGGGCGUGCAGAAGAUUCAGUUCGGGAAGCCCCAAUAUCCAAUAAUAUAAAUAAAAAACGUGGAAUAACGCUAAUGCAGCGUAUAUGGGCUCUUCCACCGAACAAGAAACUUGUAUGUGGGUUAAAUGGGAGCCAGCAACCGGUUGGGGAAAGCGGGCAAACAUUCAAAAGGUGGUUGGGCACCUUAUGCAUCUGCCGCAACUAUUGCCCACUUAUGCCUGCUACUUGGACGCAUGUCGACCGUAAAUGCAAAGAAGACGCCUGGGUAGAGAUAGAGAAAAAGUGGAUCAUUGACCCAGAAAUUAUCAGACCAGCUAAUCAAAUGAACUGGGCAAUGCACUUAUUAGGGGAGUUGAGAAGGAACCGAAGGAGUAAGUUAAAAAAAAAAAUGCUACCCAAAAGAUGCGUUAAAAGAAGAUGUUUAUGAAAAGAAACCAUCUUGGGCUGACGAGCAGGACUACCGCGCACUAGUUGACUAUUGGUUUGAUUCUAAAAUGAAGGUUGCGCUAUUUUCUUGCUCUAUUAUCUUUUAGUGGUAAUAUACAUAUGAUGGGGUAUUUGGAUAUACCGAGUACAGUGUUUUAACUGAUUUGUUUGUUUUAAUUUGUUGGCGGGAAUGUGUAAAGGAAUUAGUGGAUACAAA